GUGUGCUGCUAAGAGCUCGCCCGCCCGCCCGCCCGACAAGGAGCAAAUGCAAGCAGCUUGCAAACCAGGACCCAGGGUUCUGGGCCUUUGUCUUCCUUGCUGCUUGCUCCUCAUUUCCACGCACAGUAAAUUCCCUCCUCUUGCUCCUAAAAUGGGAUGCCUGCCAGGAGGAACUACAGAUAUGAUGCAAUAUUGAGUACUCGUGUGGACUGACCUGCGCAGAACAGUAUUAUUCUCUUAGUAUUUCAGACACACCUAAGGAAAAACUGCAGGCUUCCUCUACCCACACUGGGCCCCACCACUGACAACGCCCACGGGUCCUCCUGGCAGCACCCAGGGCUGUGACGGUCAACGUGCACACUGCAGUAAGCAGUCGUCACAUCGGGGACAACACGCAGGCAAGAACUGAACAGGUAGACCAAACACACCAGAACAGAAGAAAACACGCAACAGACACGAAUCCAAUCCCACAAGUUCACCCGGGGCCUGCAACACUUCAGGAGCACCGCAGAGAGCCAGGCUGAUGGAAUGCCACCUGAUUUCCACACCGCCCUGACAACUACUUCUACAGCUGGAACCACCCGUGGGGCAACCGAGGAGGAGGAGGAGGAGGAGGAGGAGGAGCACGCAGCACUGAAAGCUUACAACCGGUCACGUGGGCAGGGUGAACAUUGGCUAGCUUGCCUUCGAUAAAAACAAAACAAACCCCCCCCCCCAACACACAACGUUGCAAAUAACCUUUCAGCAGCACCUCUGAGGACCAGUAUUGCAAGAGCUGAACCGUUGACAAGAUUCAAACCCCAUUUUCCCUCCCUCGGAAAGGGCCUGCUAGGUGGGUGACAUUUCCGGAGGGGGGGGGGCAAGGGUUGGGGGAUGCCCUUGUGACAGCUGUCCCCCUUCCACUCACUUCCUUUCUCCUCCACCAACUGGCCUCCAGCCUGAGAGAGGCCAGUGAGGAGAAAUGACAGUAAGGCAAUCAAUCUUACAAUGUCAGAAAAAAAAUGUAUUUGGCUUUUUUUUUCUUUUUUAAAAUAAGUGCAUACAAAUACGGCUAGAAGCAUUUGUUUGCCAAGUGCUCUUUAAAAACAAACAAACAAACCCAAAAAACCCAAAACAAAACAAAAAAAAAACAAAAGUAGCCAAGUCGCAGCCUACAUAGAACAGCAACUGUCACCUGAAGAGUCAAGCAAGAACAACCUAACAAUAUUAACAAAAGAAGAAAAUGCCUUAAAGUACAUACCUUUUGUCGUCAAAAAAAAUAUAGAAACACAAUGUAUUCAAAAAAAUCAAAAUUAUACAGCCAUGUUUAUGAAGUC
rnacentral:lncRNA from 1 species